rnacentral:rRNA from 1 species
AUUGAACGCUGGCGGAAUGCUUUACACAUGCAAGUCGAACGGUAGAGGGGGCAACCCCUCGAGAGUGGCGAACGGGUGAGUAGUAUAUCGGAACGUGCCCAGUCGUGGGGGAUAACGUAGCGAAAGUUACGCUAAUACCGCAUACGAUCUAAGGAUGAAAGCGGGGGAUCGCAAGACCUCGCGCGAUUGGGGCGGCCGAUAUCAGAUUAGGUAGUUGGUGGGGUAAAGGCUCACCAAGCCAACGAUCUGUAGCUGGUCUGAGAGGACGACCAGCCACACUGGAACUGAGACACGGUCCAGACUCCUACGGGAGGCAGCAGUGGGGAAUUUUGGACAAUGGACGCAAGUCUGAUCCAGCCAUUCCGCGUGCAGGAUGAAGGCCCUCGGGUUGUAAACUGCUUUUGUACGGAACGAAAAGGUCUCUCUUAAUACGGGGGGCUCAUGACGGUACCGUAAGAAUAAGCACCGGCUAACUACGUGCCAGCAGCCGCCGCCG